rnacentral:rRNA from 1 species
GACGAACGCUGGCGGCGUGCCUAACACAUGCAAGUCGAACGGGGUAAUUUCUUCGGAGAUUACUUAGUGGCGAACGGGGGAGUAACGCGUGAGAAACCUGCCUUUCAGUGGGGGACAACAGUUGGAAACGACUGCUAAUACCGCAUAAUGUUAGUUGGGGGCAUCCCUGAAUAACCAAAGCUUAAUGUGCUGAACGAUGGUCUCGCGUCUGAUUAGCUAGAUGGCGGGGUAACGGCCCACCAUGGCGACGAUCAGUAGCCGGUCUGAGAGGAUGAACGGCCACAUUGGGACUGAGAUACGGCCCAGACUCCUACGGGAGGCAGCAGUGGGGAAUAUUGGGCAAUGGGGGAAACCCUGACCCAGCAACGCCGCGUGAAGGAAGAAGGCCUUCGGGUUGUAAACUUCUUUUACCAGGGACGAAGAACGUGACGGUACCUGGAGAAAAAGCAACGGCUAACUACGUGCCAGCAGCCGCCGUAAGAC